UACGUAGGGUGCGAGCGUUGUCCGGAAUUAUUGGGCGUAAAGAGCUUGUAGGCGGUUUGUCGCGUCUGCUGUGAAAUUUCGGGGCUCAACCCCGAACUUGCAGUGGGUACGGGCAGACUAGAGUGUGGUAGGGGAGACUGGAAUUCCUGGUGUAGCGGUGAAAUGCGCAGAUAUCGGGAAGAACACCCGUGGCGAAGGCGGCUCUCUGGGACGGUACUGACGCUGAGACGCGAAAGCGUGGGGAGCGAACAGG
rnacentral:rRNA from 1 species